UUUCAGUUUAUUCCACAGCAUUUCACAUCACCAAUCCACUUCACUCUGGAGUAAUAGAAACAGCAUUCUCUUUUUGACCGACCCUAACCAAUGGGACACCUUUAGGUGUCCAGUGCUACUCUUGAUUAUUUUCAUUGCUGAUCCCUCCCCCAAAGUCUUUAGCAGCACUUGUGCAUGGUUUGGUUGGUUCACCUGCCAAUUUUGCUGCACUUAGAAUUUUAGAACGGCUCUGCAAAUAGAAAGGUGUCCAAGGAAAGACUCUACAUGUUAGGAUAAUUUACUAACUAAUGGUUGCACUGCUAAUUUGAUUUCACUGCUGAUCAGAGAUAGGAAGAGAAUUGUAAUUGAAAUGCAUUGCAACCAAUUUGUAAAUGUUGGUACACAUUAUCCAUCAUUGUUAUGCUAUUAUGCUAUUAACAUAAAUUAUCACAUAGAGGUAAUUUAAAACUGUUAACUGACACAGGUAUAUCUUAUUCCUGGUGAUAAUUACACAUAAAAAAGGAGGUCAGGCUAAAUGUUGCAUGGUAUUAUUGCAUAGACUAUUGAUGGACAGUAGUGAUUAAGUGAUGCUAGCAUUGAAAAAUUACUUUGUUCCUAGCAUUUCCAUCAUUUCCAUUAGUUUUCUCUUUUAUAUGAAUUUAAGAUAUCAUAUUCAAACAAACAAUAGAUUUUUCUUAAAAAUACUCUUUGGGGGCUAACUUUUCUGAAGUUUCCAUUCUGCUUCAUACUAAUUUAAUAUUGCUUUUAAUGAGUUUUUGUUUCACUUUUUUUAGCUGCAUACUCAGAAGACAUUUCCUGUAAAAAGUUAGAAGACACUAACUCAUUACCAGUGAAUUCUUUGUUAAGUACAUGAAUUCUCAACUCAUUUGUGUAGUGAUGAAUUGGGUCCUGUAUUCUUAAGUAAAUUAGUACCAAAAAUAAUAGGCUUAGGCUUCAGAAGUGAAUAUUCACUAUGACGAAGGGAACUGGGGGGUGUGGGCAAAUUCCGUACUGAUGCUGUGAUACUGUGAAGAAAGAUUUUCUGUGGAGUCUCUCAGAUUAGGUGGCUUUGGGGAUAUAACUAAUGAAAGGGAACUCAAGACUGAUGACAGAUGGGAGAUAAAGCCAGAUGAGGAGCGUUGGAUUUUUCCGAUUUAAGCUUUGAAAAUCUUAAAUGCUUGAAGCUUCUCAGCCGGAGGUUAGGCUGUCAAUGAAUAUCACAGUGGAAAUGCUGGACAAGUGUCAUUCCUGGAAACGGUCUCUGAGAUCUUAGUACCACCAGAUGUCGGGGACAAAAUGUAAAAUGACAAAUAGGCCCUCAAAGGAAUAAUGUGCUCUCAUUUCGUCUCACCCCAAAACGUUCCAUCAAUUCUAGGACCGUUGAGUCUGUGAAAGUCUUGUGUUACGAGUAUUUAUGAGAUGAGUAUGAAACAACACACGUGACUUCUAGAAGCUGUGAAAUGGGGAGGCCUAGACGGAAUUCUUGGUGCUCAGGCCAGAAGAUAUUUGCACAUAAACUUAUAGAGGACACAGUACACGAAUUCCUGGUUAUUCUCAAAGGUAGCGUGCUAAAUGCUGAGUCAGGACAUGGUGGAGGUGCUUCUGCGUGACAAGUUCUAACAUAAUCGUGAGGGAUGAAAGAUGUGUAUCAUCAAAAUGGCUCUUGAAAACUCUAGAAAGUUGACGCCCAAGACACCCUCUUCCUAAAUCCAGUGCUGCCGCUCUCUCCCCAGCUUGGGUAGAUCAGUGUUUCUCUGCACCUCAGAGGCAGGGGGCACCCUCUACUUAGGGUCACAAUGCACAAGGAGGAUAAAUGCGAAAACACUAGAAUCAGAGUCAACGGAGCAAGGAGAGUCACAUGAUGAGCGGUGCCUAAGAACUGGGGCAGGUUGAAGGAACAGCUUUUCAUCUUCUCCUGUUCCACCUACAAUCCCUCAGGGAUUUCCACGCACUGAGGGAAAUUGCCAACAUGGCUGGACUAAAUGAGUUAUUUAUUUAUUGCUAUUAUUAUUAAUUUUUAAUAGUUACUUCCCCAAUACAAUUUUUUUUCUACUGUACAGCAUGGUGACCGAGUUACACAUACAUGUACACCUUCUAUUUUUGCACAUUAUCAUGCUCCAUCAUAAGUGACUAGACAUAGUUCCCAGGGCUACACAGCAGGAUCUCAUUGCUAUUCCAUUCCAAAGGCAAUAGUUUGUAUCUAUUAACCUCCAGCUCCCCAACCACCUCACUCCCUCCCCCUCCCCCUUGGCAAUCACAAGUCUAUUCUCCAAGUCCAUGAUUUUCUUUUCUGUGGGAAGGUUCAUUUGUGCCUUAUAUUAGAUUCCAGAUAUAAAUGAUAUCAUAUGGUAUUUGUCUUUCUCUUUCUGACUUACUUCACUCAGGAUGAGAGUCUCUAGUUCCCUCCAUGGUGCUGCAAAUGGCAUUAUUUUGUUCUUUUUUAUGCCUGAGUAGCAUUCCAUUGUGUAUAUAUACCACAUCUUCCUAAUCCAAUUACCUGUUGAUGGACAUUUGGGUUGUUUCCAUGUCUUGGCUAUUGUGAAUAGUGCUGCAAUGAACAUGUGGGUGCAUGUGUCUUUUUUAAGGAAAGUUUUGUCUGGAUAUAUGCCCAAGAGUGGGAUUUCUGGGUCAUAUGGUAGUUCUAUGCAUAGAUUUCUAAGGUAUCUCCAUACUGUUCUCCAUAGUGGUUGUACCAGCUUACAUUCCCACCAAGAGUGCAGGAGGGUUCCCUUUUCUCCACAUCCUCUCCAGCCUUUGUUAUUUGUGGCCUUAUUAAUGAUGGCCAUUCUGACUGCCUCACGGUAGUUUCGAUUUGCAUUUCUCUAAUGGUCAGUGAUGUUGAGCAUUUUUUCAUGUGCUUGUUGGCCAUCUGUAUAUCUUCUUUGGAAAAACGUCUAUUCAGGUUUUUUGCCCAUUUUCCCAUUGGGUUGUUGGCUUUCUUGCUGUUGAGUUGUAUAAGUUGCUUGUAUAUUCUAGAGAUAAAGCCCUUGUCAGUCACAUCACUGAAUGCGUUAAAUAGUAUCUUUCCCUUUCUUCUCUUUUCUCCCUCUCUUUUCUCUCCCCUUCCCACUGUAUGCCACCUCUCCACUAUUAACUCUCAACAGAGCAUUAUUCAGCAUCACCCUGACAGUCUCUUUGAGGCAGAACAGAAACACUAAGACUUUCAAAAACCAUAUAUGUCAUCUAUUCUCAGCUCUAAGAUCUCUAAUUUUUCAAACCUCCACACCUCUUAUUUUAUGUUAGUAGGGACUCUAAAAGUUUUUGUAGGUCAGACUUUUUGAGUUGAUUCUAAAAGCUAAGGACCCUUUCCCAGAAAAAUGUAUUAUGAACAUGCAAACUUAAUUAAACAAAAAUCUGGAUCCAUGCAUGGUCCCACAACUUUUAAAUUAGAUUCUCUAGGCCACCACAGGUUUCUCCUUCAACCAGCAGGUGGUUCACCUUCUUCUGAUCAAUCCUAUAUCAUCUUUUUAUCCUCUAUCAUCAUUUUAUCCUAUAUCAUCCUUUUAGCAGGGACCUAUAAGGAUGAUAAGAAUAAGAAUGUUAAUACUGAAUAGCUAACAUUCCUUAAGUGCUUAGAUGUGUACAGACACUAGCCUGAGUUAACAUAUUUACCAUCUGUCACAACCUGAUGACAAAUGUACUGUUAUCCUCAUUUUACUGUUAAGGAAACUGAGGUAGAGGGAGGCUGAGAAAUUCAUCCAAGAUCAUACAGCUAGGAAGUGGCUGAGUCAGAAAGUCUGGUUUGAGAGUCCAGGCUCUUAAGCCACUCUGCAAUACUACUUUGCAGUAUAAAACUAAUUGGGUGUCUUUUCUAUUUGGUAAAAAAUAGGAGAGGAGUUCCCAUUGUGGCACAGCAGAAAUGAAUCCAACUGGUACCCAUGUGAAUUUGAUGCAGGUUCAAAUCCUUAGUCUAGCUCAGUAGAUCAGGGAUUUGGUGUUGCCCUGAGCUGUGGUGCAGGUCACAGAUGUGGUUCAGAUCCCGAGUUGCUGUGGCUGUGUUGUAGGCCGGCAGCUACAGCUCCUAUUCAACCCCUAGCCUGGGAACCUCCAUAGGCUGAGGGUGCAGCCCUAAAAAAAAAAAAAAAGAGAGAAAAAAAAAAGAAAAAAAGAAAAAGAAGAGAAGAUGACCUUGGCUCUUCAGUCACCAAACUGUGACUCUGUGACAGUGGUCUUUCUACAAAGUCUUCCCUCCUUUAAAGAGAAUCUGCUUCCUCAGCACUUGAAGCUGGAAGAUGACCUAAAACUCAUCUAGCUGGUGUUACAGUCAGUCCCCUUGGUCAGCACUUCAACUGAUUUCUAGCAGUUUUACAGUCUGAUUCUGGAUUCCUAAAAGGACUGUGCCUACUUUCCAGAACAAUUUAAUUACACAUUACUAUUUGUUUCACAAUCAAAAACAUGAUAUUAUUUAGGACACUUGGUUGAGAGUAUCAGGGAUUUAACUUGCAAUGACUUUAGGAAGAAAAGAAAAAAAUGAUUGGCUCGUGAUCUCCCAAGACCUACUGAAGAGUGAAGUCAUGGAAAAACACAGAUGCUAAUACUGAUGGAUAUAGCUGGUACUCAUCUGCCUUUCCCCUUACUCAUUUUCUCUUACUUCCAACUGGCUUUUUUCAAAUGGCUGGAAACAUAAACCACAAUAUCUUACAUGUUUUGUAUUUUACAUCUUCUCCCAAAAAAGGAGACAGUUUUGUCACUUUCUUCACGUCUAGUUCAAGAAUCUAAGACAAUAUGUCUUACAUUUUAUGGACCCAACUUGGGCUUAUUUUCCACCCCUGAAAUAAAUUAAUGUGAUUUGGGAUAGAGGGAUUAGACCGUGUGAAAACACAUAGUCCCAUAGAAAUCGGUGGAUAAAUAGGAAAGGAGAAGUUCCCAGGAAAAGGGAAAGAGUGAUGAAGGGAUAAUACUUGUGGGAUGAUUACAAAAGGAAAUUCAAUUAAAUCUAUUUGUUUGAAGUUAGCAUUAAAUUACAUGGGUCCAUCAGGCAGAGGGAUUGACAACAUCUCUUGUUUUAUACAGACAGAUGAAUUCAUGGGGGAAAAUGGUGUGCAAAUCAAAUUUGUGUUAAUUCAAUAAAUAAGUGACUAUUUGAACAAUUUUUUAUUAUAAAUAUUUCAGCAAGGAGUUCCUGUUGUGGCACAGUGGUGGCGAAUCCGACUAGGAAUCAUCAAGUUGCGGGUUCAAUCCCUGGCCUCGAUCAUUAGGUUAAGGAUCCGGCAUGGUCAUGAGCUGUGGUGUGGGUUGCAGAUGUGGCUCAGAUCCUGCGUUGCUGUGGCUGUGGCAUGGGCCAGCAGCUGUGGUUCCAAUUGGACCCCUAACCUGUGAACCUCCAUGUGCUGUAGGUGUGGCC
rnacentral:lncRNA from 1 species